AGUGAACGCUGGCGGCAGGCCUAAUACAUGCAAGUCGAACGGCAGCACAGCAGAGCUUGCUCUGUGGGUGGCGAGUGGCGGACGGGUGAGGAAUACAUGGGAAUCUGCCCAGUCGUGGGGGAUAACGUAGGGAAACUUACGCUAAUACCGCAUGCGCCCUUCGGGGGAAAGCCGGGGACCUUCGGGCCUGGCGCGAUUGGAUGCGCCCAUGUCGGAUUAGCUAGUUGGCGGGGUAAAGGCCCACCAAGGCGACGAUCCGUAGCUGGUCUGAGAGGAUGAUCAGCCACACUGGAACUGAGACACGGUCCAGACUCCUACGGGAGGCAGCAGUAGGGAAUAUUGGACAAUGGGCGCAAGCCUGAUCCAGCCAUGCCGCGUGAGUGAAGAAGGCCUUCGGGUUGUAAAGCUCUUUUGUCCGGAAAGAAAAGCAUCCAGUUAAUACCUGGGUGUCCCGACGGUACCGGAAGAAUAAGCACCGGCUAACUUCGUGCCAGCCGCCGCCGUAAGAC
rnacentral:rRNA from 1 species